GUGCUCACUUCAGCAGCACAAAUACUAAAAUUGGAACGAUACAGAGAAGAUUAGCAUGGCUCUGCAAGGAUGACACGCAAAUUUGUGAAGCAUUCCAUUUUAAA